rnacentral:rRNA from 1 species
AGUGAACGCUGGCGGUAGGCCUAACACAUGCAAGUCGAACGGCAGCACAGUAAGAGCUUGCUCUUACGGGUGGCGAGUGGCGGACGGGUGAGGAAUACAUCGGAAUCUACUUUUUCGUGGGGGAUAACGUAGGGAAACUUACGCUAAUACCGCAUGCGACCUACGGGUGAAAGCAGGGGAUCUUCGGACCUUGCGCGAUUGAAUGAGCCGAUGUCGGAUUAGCUAGUUGGCGGGGUAAAGGCCCACCAAGGCGACGAUCCGUAGCUGGUCUGAGAGGAUGAUCAGCCAAACUGGAACUGAGACACGGUCCAGACUCCUACGGGAGGCAGCAGUGGGGAAUAUUGGACAAUGGGCGCAAGCCUGAUCCAGCCAUACCGCGUGGGUGAAGAAGGCCUUCGGGUUGUAAAGCCCUUUUGUUGGGAAAGAAAAGCAGCAGGUUAAUACCCCGCUGUUCCGACGGUACCCAAAGAAUAAGCACCGGCUAACUUCGUG